rnacentral:tRNA from 1 species
GAGGGUAUAGCUCAAGUGGUAGAGCACAUGCUUGGCAUGCAUGAGGUCCUGGGUUCAAUUCCCAGGACCUCCU